rnacentral:rRNA from 1 species
ACCUGACUGCUAUCGGAUUGAUACUAAGCCAUGCGAGUCAUUGUAGCAAUACAAGGCAUACGGCUCAGUAACGCGUAGUCAACCUAACCUAUGGACGGGAAUAACCUCGGGAAACUGAGAAUAAUGCCCGAUAGAACACUAUACCUGGAAUGGUUUGUGUUCCAAAUGAUUUAUCGCCAUAGGAUGGGACUGCGGCCUAUCAGUUUGUUGGUGAGGUAAUGGCCCACCAAGACUAUUACAGGUACGGGCUCUGAGAGGAGUAGCCCGGAGAUGGGUACUGAGACACGGACCCAGGCCCUAUGGGGCGCAGCAGGCGAGAAAACUUUGCAAUGUGCGAAAGCACGACAAGGUUAAUCCGAGUGAUUUGUGCUAAACGAAUCUUUUGUUAGUCCUAGAAACACUAACGAAUAAGGGGUGGGCAAGUUCUGGUGUCAGCCGCCGCGGUAAAACCAGCUCCUCAAGUGGUCAGGAUGAUUAUUGGGCCUAAAGCAUCCGUAGCCGGCUCUGUAAGUUUUCGGUUAAAUCUGUACGCUUAACGUACAGGCUGCCGGGAAUACUGCAAAGCUAGGGAGUGGGAGAGGUAGACGGUACUCGGUAGGAAGUGGUAAAAUGCUUUGAUCUAUCGAUGACCACCUGUGGCGAAGGCGGUCUACCAGAACACGUCCGACGGUGAGGGAUGAAAGCUGGGGGAGCAAACCGGAUUAGAUACCCGGGUAGUCCCAGCUGUAAACUAUGCAAACUCAGUGAUGCAUUGGCUUGUGGCCAAUGCAGUGCUGCAGGGAAGCCGUUAAGUUUGCCGCCUGGGAAGUACGUACGCAAGUAUGAAACUUAAAGGAAUUGGCGGGGGAGCACCACAAGGGGUGAAGCCUGCGGUUC